UGGGGAAUAUUGCACAAUGGGCGCAAGCCUGAUGCAGCCAUGCCGCGUGUAUGAAGAAGGUCUUCGGGUUGUAAAGUACUUUCAGCGGGGAGGAAGGGAGUAAAGUUAAUACCUUUACUCAUUGACGUUACCCGCAGAAGAAGCACCGGCUAUCUCCGUGCCAGCAGCCGCGGUAAUACGGAGGGUGCAAGCGUUAAACGGAAUUACUGGGCGUAAAGCGCACGCAGGCGGUUGAUUGAGUCAGAUGUGAAAUCCCCGGGCUUAACCCAGGAAUUGCAUCUAAUACUGGUCAGCUAGAGUCUUGUAGAGGGGGGUAGAAUGCCGUGUGUAGCGGUGAAAUGCGUAGAGAUGUGGAGGAAUACCGGUGGCGAAGGCGGCCCCCUGGACAAAGACUGACGCUCAGGUGCGAAAGCGUGGGGAGCAAACAGG
rnacentral:rRNA from 1 species